rnacentral:rRNA from 1 species
UACGUAGGGGGCAAGCGUUGUCCGGAUUUAUUGGGCGUAAAGAGCGUGUAGGCGGCCAGGUAGGUCCGUUGUGAAAACUGGAGGCUUAACCUCGAGCUGUCGGCGGAAACCAUCUGGCUAGAGUCCGGAAGAGGAGAAUGGAAUUCCCGGUGUAGCGGUGAAAUGCGCAGAUAUCGGGAAGAACACCCGUGGCGAAGGCGGUUCUCUGGGACGGUACUGACGCUGAGACGCGAAAGCGUGGGGAGCGAACAGG